rnacentral:rRNA from 1 species
UGGGGAAUCUUGCACAAUGGGGGCAACCCUGAUGCAGCGACGCCGCGUGAGCGAUGAAGCCCUUCGGGGUGUAAAGCUCUUUCGACAGGAACGAUAAUGACGGUACCUGGAGAAGAAGCUGCGGCUAACUACGUGCCAGCAGCCGCGGUAAUACGUAGGCAGCAAGCGUUGUUCGGAGUUACUGGGCGUAAAGAGUGCGUAGGCGGUGCCCCAAGUCUGUUGUGAAAUCUCCCGGCUUAACUGGGAGGGUGCGGUGGAAACUGGGGUGCUUGAGUGUGGGAGAGGUAAGCGGAAUUCCUGGUGUAGCGGUGAAAUGCGUAGAUAUCAGGAGGAACACCGGCGGUGUAGACGGCUUACUGGACCACGACUGACGCUGAGGCACGAAAGCGUGGGUAGCAAACAG